UGAGUAACACGUGAGCAACCUGCCCCCGACUCUGGGAUAAGCGCUGGAAACGGCGUCUAAUACUGGAUAUGUGACGUGACCGCAUGGUCUGCGUCUGGAAAGAAUUUCGGUUGGGGAUGGGCUCGCGGCCUAUCAGCUUGUUGGUGAGGUAAUGGCUCACCAAGGCGUCGACGGGUAGCCGGCCUGAGAGGGUGACCGGCCACACUGGGACUGAGACACGGCCCAGACUCCUACGGGAGGCAGCAGUGGGGAAUAUUGCACAAUGGGCGGAAGCCUGAUGCAGCAACGCCGCGUGAGGGAUGACGGCCUUCGGGUUGUAAACCUCUUUUAGCAGGGAAGAAGCGAAAGUGACGGUACCUGCAGAAAAAGCGCCGGCUAACUACGUGCCAGCAGCCGCGGUAAUACGUAGGGCGCAAGCGUUAUCCGGAAUUAUUGGGCGUAAAGAGCUCGUAGGCGGUUUGUCGCGUCUGCUGUGAAAUCCGGAGGCUCAACCUCCGGCCUGCAGUGGGUACGGGCAGACUAGAGUGCGGUAGGGGAGAUUGGAAUUCCUGGUGUAGCGGUGGAAUGCGCAGAUAUCAGGAGGAACACCGAUGGCGAAGGCAGAUCUCUGGGCCGUAACUGACGCUGAGGAGCGAAAGGGUGGGGAGCAAACAGGCUUAGAUACCCUGGUAGUCCACCCCGUAAACGUUGGGAACUAGUUGUGGGGUCCAUUCCACGGAUUCCGUGACGCAGCUAACGCAUUAAGUUCCCCGCCUGGGGAGUACGGCCGCAAGGCUAAAACUCAAAGGAAUUGACGGGGACCCGCACAAGCGGCGGAGCAUGCGGAUUAAUUCGAUGCAACGCGAAGAACCUUACCAAGGCUUGACAUAUACGAGAACGGGCCAGAAAUGGUCAACUCUUUGGACACUCGUAAACAGGUGGUGCAUGGUUGUCGUCAGCUCGUGUCGUGAGAUGUUGGGUUAAGUCCCGCAACGAGCGCAACCCUCGUUCUAUGUUGCCAGCACGUAAUGGUGGGAACUCAUGGGAUACUGCCGGGGUCAACUCGGAGGAAGGUGGGGAUGACGUCAAAUCAUCAUGCCCCUUAUGUCUUGGGCUUCACGCAUGCUACAAUGGCCGGUACAAAGGGCUGCAAUACCGCGAGGUGGAGCGAAUCCCAAAAAGCCGGUCCCAGUUCGGAUUGAGGUCUGCAACUCGACCUCAUGAAGUCGGAGUCGCUAGUAAUCGCAGAUCAGCAACGCUGCGGUGAAUACGUUCCCGGGUCUUGUACACACCGCCCGUC
rnacentral:rRNA from 1 species